GGCUGAAGCUCCGCCCCUCCAACAUCUCACACGCACACACUCACACCUGUUAGACCACUUUAAACUAUCAGCUUCACCUCCAGGCUGCACUGAUCUGAUUGGCAGGUGAAGCUGCAGCCGUUUCACCACAGAAGAAGACCGAGCAGAGCAGAGUGGAGAGGAGUGAGACCAGCUGAGGUUCUUCUGAACACCAGAUCUCCAGGACCUUCAUGACCAUGUCUGUGUCUCAGCUUAGAUCUGAACUGGGACCAUCUGGACUGAAGCGUUUGUGUGUUUGGCUGAAAGGCUGCCUUGCCCCCCCUCCCCUCCCCCUCCCUGGUGGUGGUGUCCCCCCUCCUCUCCCCCUCCCUGGUGGUGGUGCCCCCCCUCCCCUCCCCCUCCCUGGUGGUGGUGUCCCCCGCCCCUCCUCACCGUCUCGCCGUCUCCUCCUGCUGGUCCUGACGCUGAGUGGCGUGCUGCUGAUGCUGCUGCUGCUGAUGACCAACUACCACUGUCUGUUCGUGUCCCGCAUCUGCUCCCCACCGGGGGAAGAGGGGGGCACCACCCAGACCCUCCUGGGACCGGACUGAACUGGUCCAGUCCUACAGAAACCAGAUUCACAUGUUAAAGUCUCAUGUUUAGAAUAUUUUGCUUCAUAAUCUACAAACUGAAAGAAAUAAAGAAACAUUUUUUAGAA